rnacentral:lncRNA from 1 species
GAGAUUUAAAAGGGACAGGAAAAUCUGGAAUAGCAUCUUCAACUAAAGAUGUCAAAGCACAAGCUCACUUCCCACGGAAGGUAGCAAUUACUAUUAUCUACUUGACAGCUACAAGAACCUAGGCACAGAGGUUAAGUGCUCUGCAAAUACUACCAGCCAGUGGUGGUUUUCCUGCCAGAACCAAGUUCUUGCCUUCCAGUGGACACCAUUGAUCUCUCAAGAUGAUUCUUUAAGUUAAAAAGAAAUGUGAAAUCUCUUAGGCCAAGAAGAACAACCUGAGGACUCUCUUUCUGGAGGUAAUUGAACUCCUUUAGUAAAUCCAGAGGAGAAAUCUGAGAUCAGUACAUCUUUUGUAUCUAUGAUA